AUAGAAACGAAGAAGAAAAAGAAACGAAGAGAAGAAGCGAAGAGAAGAAGAGAAGAAGAAGAUGAUGAUAGACGAAAAAGAAGAAGAGACGAAGAAGACGAAGUGAAGAACAGAAAAAACAGGAAAAAAAGAAGGAAAACAUACUUGGAUUUCUUCCUCAGCGAUGGCGCGACAGCGAUGGACUUGGGUUUCUUCCUCAGCGAUGGCGCAACGGCGACGGAUGAAAAAGGGUUCAGGACACUACAAUGUCAAGUGAUGAAGAAAUUUACAAUUAGUUUAGAGUUGAAACUGGUCUAGUUUGCUUUUUGGAAGAUGAUGUUUAAAUAUAACAAAAUUAGAAGUAGCCUAUAGAUGUUUAAUAUGUUUUUGUUGAAUUAUAUUUUUUUGAAUAUGAUGUUAAUUCUAAUAUGUUUUUAUUGAA